GAUGAAGAACGUAGCGAAACGCGAUAAGUAAUGUGAAUUGCAGAAUCCAGUGAAUCAUCGAAUCUUUGAACGCACAUUGCGCCCGCCAGCAUUCUGGCGGGCAUGCCUGUUCGAGCGUCAUUUCAACCCUCGACCUCCCCUUGGGGAGGUCGGCGUUGGGGACCGGCAGCACACCGCCGGCCCUGAAAUGGAGUGGCGGCCCGUCCGCGGCGACCUCUGCGCAGUAAUACAGCUCGCACCGGGACCCCGACGCGGCCACGCCGUAAAACACCCAACUUCUGAACGUUGACCUCGAAUCAGGUAGGACUACCCGCUGAACUUAAGCAUAUCAAUAGCGGAGGA
rnacentral:misc_RNA from 1 species